CACAUACCAACAUCAACUUCCAAGGCGUCCCUCAGACCUGAGAUUCAUAAGUGCCACCAACUGCUAUUCUUUCCAUCUUCUGAAACAACACUGCAUAUUUCUUCCACAAACGAGCUGACCAAAACACAAUCUGACACCAGACCCGAGCCUUGAUCAUCCUUUGCAAAGAUAACACACAUUACUUGUGAUUCAGCAAGCUUCAGUUCCCCUUAUCCUUUGCAGAAAAUGAUUAACCAUCCAUCACAAACUACCUUUGUGACUGUAUUGAAACAAGACCACCUUAUCUUCAAGAUUUGAGCCUGAAAUCUGCUGAACUUGAUUUGAUUCAAGCUCCUUAAGUCUGGCUUGACUUAACCUGAAUAAUCUCCAACAUGAGAUAUUACCGGAAAGGAGUAUAUCAGCAGCUACGAAGAAGACGACGAACACUCAGCCUUCAAUUCCUCCGAUACCAACGAAGACACGCAGCUGGAACAGGGGAAAGCAAUGGUGACUCAAGAGCUAUGAUCUUUUACUUGAUCUCUCUAUCUUGUACUUGCUUUCUCCUUCCUCUGAAUAAUCUAUCUCUCCCUUCUGUAUCUCAUUCUUGCUUCAGCCUCUACGGAUCUUUCCUUUCUUGUGAAUAACACAACAUAGCUAGCAAGUCUCUUCAUCAUAAUCUCACACCAGACUAUGACUCUAGCCUCAAGAUAGAUCACCUUGCUUCUGCACAUGGUUUUACAAACCAGAAACCAAUAGAUCCGACUGGAUCUUCCUCCGUGUACGUUCUUUCUUACGCUUCCGACGUCUUCUUCGUCUACCACAA
rnacentral:lncRNA from 1 species